UGAAUACGAGACGCUAAGGCGUCGAAGUAGUGUAUGUCAUACUUCCAAGAAAAGCUUGCACUGUCAUAGAUAAAAAACGCCUGUACCAUAACCGACACAGGUGGGUAGGUAGAGUAUACUAAGGGGCGCGAGAUAACUCUCUCUAAGGAACUCGGCAAAAUAACUCCGUAACUUCGGGAGAAGGAGUGCCUUAUUCGUAAGGUUGCAAUAACAAGAUCCAAGCAACUGUUUAUCAAAACACAGGUCUCCGCUAAGUCGUAAGACGAUGUAUGGGGGCUGACGCCUGCCCAGUGCCAGAAGGUUAAAGAAGUUGGUUAGCAUUUGCGAAGCUAGUGACUGAAGCCCUGGUGAACGGCGGCCGUAACUAUAACGGUCCUAAGGUAGCGAAAUUCCUUGUCGGGUAAGUUCCGACCCGCACGAAAGGCGUAAUGAUUUGGAUACUGUCUCGGAGAGGGGCUCGGUGAAAUAGACUUGUCUGUGAAGAUGCGGACUACCUGCACCAGGACAGAAAGACCCUAUGAAGCUUUACUGUAACUCGAAAUUGAAAUUGGACUUUAUUCGCGCAGUAUAGGUGGGAGGCUUUGAUUAUAAUCUUGCGGGAUUAUUGGAGCCAUCAGUGAGAUACCACUCUUGUAAUGUUAGAUUUCUAACUUUGAAUCAUUAUCUGGUCAAAGGACAGUUUCAGGCGGGCAGUUUGACUGGGGCGGUCGCCUCCCAAACGGUAACGGAGGCGUACAAAGGUUUCCUCUGAACGGUUAGAAAUCGUAUCUAGAGUGUAAAGGCAUAAGGAAGCUUGACUGUGAGACCUAGAAGUCGAGCAGGGACGAAAGUCGGUCUUAGUGAUCUGACGGUACUGAGUGGAAAGGCCGUCACUCAACGGAUAAAAGUUACUCUAAGGAUAACAGGCUGAUCUCCCCCAAGAGUUCACAUCGACGGGGAGGUUUGGCACCUCGAUGUCGGCUCAUCGCAUCCUGGGGCGGUAGUACGUCCCAAGGGUUGGGCUGUUCGCCCAUGAAAGCGGUACGCGAGCUGGGUUCAGAACGUCGUGAGACAGUUCGGUCCAUAUCCGGUGUAGGCGUUAGAAUAUUGAGAGGAGCCUUCUUUAGUACGAGAGGACCGAGAAGGACAUACCUCUGUGUACCAGUUAUCGUGCCAACGGUAAACGCUGGGUAGCUAUGUAUGGAGUGGAUAACCGCUGAAAGCAUCUAAGUGGGAAGCCCACCUCAAGAUAAG
rnacentral:rRNA from 1 species